rnacentral:lncRNA from 1 species
CAGUGAUACAUAUAAAAAAGUGAAUGAUGAAUGUAAGUUCCAUUGGUCGCAGAUUCAGACUGAUUUCCUCGAAGAGUAUAGCAUAGAGACAAUUUUCCCGAUACAUUUACAGCUUCUGACAUUACCUUUUUGUCUUGUUCACUUCAUUUUUUGGUGUGCCAAGUAUUGUUGCUUCAAAAUAAGAGAUCGAAGAAUAGAUAAAAUCCAAAAUGGAGAUCACCAUGAUGAUAGGUCAAGGGACAAGUUGAAGAAAAAUCCAAUGUUUGUACGAGGUAAAAGCGUAAAUGAGUAUUAUUAAGAUCAUAUAUCUUAUACUGUUAACAUUUGUUGAAAGGAAAAAAAAUACUGGCUUAGUGAAACUGUUCAUACUCGACCUCAUGGACAUAGAACGUACACCAAUUAUACGAAGAACUAUGGCAUAUGCAAUUUUAAUACAAAAAAUUAAAAUGCAAUCACUAAAGAUAACACUAUAUGGAACGUUUUGAGAACUAGAUCAGAUUAAUCAUAACGUUUUGUAAUGCUAUUAUAAAAGAUUAAUGCAUUUGGUUUUUUUUUGUAUUGUAUAGAGAUUUACAUUGUACUUGAAAAAAAGGCAACAGUAGUAUACCGCUGUUCAAUAGUCAUUAUUCGAUUAAAAAAAAUAAGCAUUUACAGUUUUAGUUCAACUGCGUUAUAGUCAAAUGUCUGAAAUUACGCAAAACUACAAAAAUGUAAAGAUUUGCAUCCAUUGAUUCACACGUCUAUAAUUUUUAUUUUAUCUCUGUAGACUGUUUCUCUUUUUAUUAGGUUAUUUUGUAAAUAUCUAAUACAUUAUGAUAAAUACCAGGCGUAAGCCAGUUUGGUAACACAUUGAAAAAGGGUUUAAUUUCUAUAACACAGACAGUUUCCGUAUGUUUAGAUAUAGGAACGACAAACAUUCCAUCGUGGAUGCAUGAUAAGAUCAAACAUAUUAAGUAAAACCAUUCUUUUUGUAACCUUCAAUGAUGAGAAAACGUAUACCGUAGAGUCGGCUUUGCAGGGUUCUGAUAUGAAAAAUAUGAAACAUUCCAAUUGAGAAAACUAACGAAACAAUUUAUAAAAAAAACAAUUUACAAUAAACAAAUAUGAGAGACAAUCACCGAACUACACGCUGACUUAGGACAGGUACAUACAGAUAAUGCGUGUUAAACAUAAAAUUUAGAAUUGAAAUGGGGAGUAUGUCAAAGAAACAACAACACUACCAAAGAGAAGACAACAGCUGAAGGCCACCAAUGGGUCUUCAACGCAGCUACAAAAUCCCGCGUCCGGAAGUGGUCCUCAGCUGACCCCUAAAAAAGUUGUGCACUAGUUUAGUGAAAAUUGGCGUCACACUAAACUCCAAAACAUAUGAAAAUAAAAAUCAUACAACAUUAACAAAGGCCAGAGGCUCCUGAUUUUGGACAGGCGCAAACAUGCAGUAGGGUUAAACAUGUUUUGUGAGAUCUCAAUCCUCUUAGCCAAUGAAGAAUAAUGAAAUACAUAGCAAUCCGCACACUAAAUAUUAGUUUAAAAGAAGUCCGAGACCGAUGUAAGAAUAGGUAACAAAAGAAACUAAGCUACAUGUUUGUAAGUGCCUAAUCUUCGCAAUAAUCGUGUGUAACAAACAAUAUAAGAACAUACUAUAAAAAUCAGUUGAAAAGAGAUUAACUCAUUAUGGUGAAAAUAAUUUCCAUCAAACACUUAGGGGGCUUACUAUAUAAUUAGUGGUACGGAUGAGCCGCUGGAAUAUGUCAUUUUUUCAUGGUCAGUGAUAUAUGAAAAGGGUGAGAAAUUCAGAUUAAUACAUAUCAAUAGGUUGAUAUUAUCACUUGCUUGAUUUAUAUUAUAAGUAUCUGAAACUAAUCACAAAGCAGGGUAUUUAUACAUCCCUAACAACGAAACAGACACAACUUACAGAUCUCAGAUACUCGCAGUUACUUUAAACAGCUUGUUCAAAUUUAUUGUCAAUGCCUGUUUAGCAAAAGCUGACAAAGAUUAUGAAUGCUUGACCUUCUGAUCAACUUGUUUAUUCCAACCACAAAUUCAUGCGCUUUUCUCAAUUCAGUACGAUUAUAAAUCUUUAUUAUAUGGAUAAUUGGUGUCUGUGACAGAUUAACAAAAUUUAUGUUUCAUUUGCUAACAACUAUUAUAGACUCGAUAUUUUUGCUUUAUUCGUUAAUAUGAUAAGUUUUUAUGUAACCAUUUAUUAAAUUUGGUUAGUUAUCUCGAUAAAGUUUGCCGGAAAGUAAAAUACCAUUUAUACUGAACUUCAAGAAAAUUUAAGACGGAAAAGAGCUAAUCAAAUGGCAAAAUCAAAAGCUCAAACAAUUCAAACGAAUUGAUAACAACUGUUAUAUUCCUGACUUGGUACAGGCCUUUUCUUAUGUAGAAAGUGGUGUAUUAAAACUGGUUUUUAUGCUAGCUAAACCUUACAGAUAUACUGGUGACGUUUUACAAAGUCUGAGUAGGAGCUGUAAGCAGCUCUUGAAUACCGAAUAAGAUGGGAAAUGUAUGUCACCUAGUUAUGCAGGUGAAGUUGGUAUAUUGUUACUAAGGUGGAGGGAAUUGAUAAUUUCAAAAUUAUAAUCGUCUCGUUUGUCAUAAACCGUGUAUGAAUCCUGAAAUACCCUUUCAAAAUUUCAUGAAUAUGAGUUAAUUGUUUACACCUUUGUUUAUUAUACAGGUUAACCUUAAACUUAAAUUAAAACAAUGUCAUACAACAAGUAAAAUAUAGACGUUCCAUUUUUUUUACCCUAGUAUUUUUGUACAACACAGACUACGAUCUGAAACUUAAAUCAACAGAAGAAGCAGAGAGAAUUGCAGCUGCUAGGACAAAAGGGUAA